CGGAGGAAAAGAAACCAACAGGGAUUGCCCUAGUAACGGCGAGUGAAGCGGCAACAGCUCAAAUUUGAAAUCUGGCCCUCGGGUCCGAGUUGUAAUUUGUAGAGGAUGCUUUUGGUGCAGCGCCUUCCGAGUUCCCUGGAACGGGACGCCAUAGAGGGUGAGAGCCCCGUCUGGUUGGACGCUAAUCCUCUGUAAAGCUCCUUCGACGAGUCGAGUAGUUUGGGAAUGCUGCUCUAAAUGGGAGGUAUAUGUCUUCUAAAGCUAAAUACCGGCCAGAGACCGAUAGCGCACAAGUAGAGUGAUCGAAAGAUGAAAAGCACUUUGAAAAGAGAGUUAAAAAGUACGUGAAAUUGUUGAAAGGGAAGCGCUCGUGACCAGACUUGGGCUCGGAUGAUCAUCCAGGGUUCUCCCCGGUGCACUCUUCCAGCCCAGGCCAGCAUCAGUUGGCCGCGGGGGACAAAGGCUUCGGGAAUGUGGCUCCCCCGGGAGUGUUAUAGCCCGCUGCGCAAUGCCCUGCGGCCGACUGAGGUUCGCGCUCCGCAAGGAUGCUGGCGUAAUGGUCACCAGUGACCCGUCUUGAAACACGGACCAAGGAGUCGUCUUCGUAUGCGAGUGUUCGGGUGUUAAACCCCUACGCGGAAUGAAAGUGAACGCAGGUGAGAGCUUCGGCGCAUCACCGACCGAUCCUGAUGUUCUCGGAUGGAUUUGAGUAAGAGCAUACGGGGCCGGACCCGAAAGAAGGUGAACUAUGCCUGUAUAGGGUGAAGCCAGAGGAAACUCUGGUGGAGGCUCGCAGCGGUUCUGACGUGCAAAUCGAUCGUCAAAUAUGGGCAUGGGGGCGAAAGACUAAUCGAACCUUCUAG
rnacentral:rRNA from 1 species